rnacentral:misc_RNA from 1 species
ACAGUCAGCAAGUGUUUAUUUUUAAAAAGAGGGGGGGAAUUGGGGGUAGGAGAAGUGGAAAUGGGAGAGAGGAUAGCAAGACCCUCACCAACAACGUGAAAGUUCAAGUAACCAGCCUACUAACUUAACUAAUAAGGUUGUUCAAUUUGCUAGACAACAUUAUCCUAGCCCUGGCUGUCAUUUUUUCUCUUUAAUUGAACUAAGCUCUG